UAAGGAAUAUUGGACAAUGGGCGCAAGCCUGAUCCAGCCAUGCCGCGUGCAGGAUGACGGCCCUAUGGGUUGUAAACUGCUUUUGGCGGGGAAAAAACCCCUCGACUUGUCGGGGGCUGAUGGUACCCGCAGAAUAAGCAUCGGCUAACUCCGUGCCAGCAGCCGCGGUAAUACGGAGGAUGCAAGCGUUAUCCGGAUUUAUUGGGUUUAAAGGGUGCGUAGGCGGAUGAGUAAGUCAGUGGUGAAAGCCUGCAGCUUAACUGUAGAACUGCCAUUGAUACUGCUUGUCUUGAAUAUGGUUGAGGUGGGCGGAAUAUGACAUGUAGCGGUGAAAUGCUUAGAUAUGUCAUAGAACACCGAUUGCGAAGGCAGCUCACUAAGCCAUUAUUGACGCUGAGGC
rnacentral:rRNA from 1 species